UACGAAGGGGGCGAGCGUUGCUCGGAAUCACUGGGCGUAAAGGGUGCGUAGGCGGCUGUUCAAGUCGGGGGUGAAAUCCCGUGGCUCAACCACGGAAUGGCCUUCGAUACUGGACGGCUCGAGACCGGAAGAGGUGAGUGGAACUGCGAGUGUAGAGGUGAAAUUCGUAGAUAUUCGCAAGAACACCAGUGGCGAAGGCGGCUCACUGGUCCGGUUCUGACGCUGAGGCGCGAAAGCGUGGGGAGCAAACAGG
rnacentral:rRNA from 1 species